rnacentral:piRNA from 1 species
UUGUUCUCUUUGUCGAGUUUU